UCUGGUGAUUGUAGCGGUGUGGCACCACCUGAUACCAUCUCGAACUCAGAAGUGAAACGCACCAGCGCCGAUGAUACUUCUCCGGCAACGGAGCGGGAAAAUAGGUCAUCGCCAGAA
rnacentral:rRNA from 1 species